rnacentral:lncRNA from 1 species
AGAAAGGAAAUUUUUUUUCUUAAAUGUAGAAAGGAAAAUGCUACUGGAAUGAUGAAGUCUCAGAUUUUCUUUCCUAAUGGCAGGCAGUUUCUGUGGGUGAAGAACAAGCAUGCUAUUAAAUUCAUUAUUAUAAUCAUCAUCUUUUAAAUCUUCUUAUUCUUCCUUCAGAUUUCCAGAAGUUGUGCAUGAGUUCCUGUGGAGAGAAUUGGAGUCUUGGGCAGCAAAGGCAGCUGCAAUGCAGUUUACUGAGAUGAGGAUAACAGGAAGCAUCAGGACAGUCAUGCCCGUGAGAACUCUAAACUAUUCAGGUAGUCAUUUCAUUUUUAAUCUGUCCUCAAAAUAGGUUUUGUUUUCCGUAUUUUGAAACUUUUAUGAUUGUUUUGUUUAGUUGUACUCUUUUACCUUCCCC